UACAGAGGGUGCGAGCGUUGUCCGGAAUCACUGGGCGUAAAGAGCGAUGUAGGCGGCUUGGCAAGUUCUGACGUGAAAUCCCCGGGCUCAACCCGUGGGAACUGCAUCUGUGACUGUAUAGCUAGAGUACGGUAGAGGGGGAUGGGAAUUCCGCGUGUAGCAGUGAAAUGCGUAGAUAUGCGGAGGAACACCGAUGGCGAAGGCAAUCCCCUGGACCUGUACUGACGCUCAUGCACGAAAGCGUGGGGAGCAAACAGGG
rnacentral:rRNA from 1 species